GGCCCAUUAGUGUAGCGGUAACACGACUGACUGUCUAUCAGUUAUCCUCGGUUCAAAUCCGGGAUGGGUCG
rfam:Bacillus phage Mater, complete genome.